ensembl:rRNA 5S_rRNA 5S ribosomal RNA
GCCAGCAGCCAUAUCAUCCUGCAACUCACGACUCAAACCCACUGAAGCUAAGCAGGUGUGAGCCUGGUCAGAACCUGGAUGGGAGACCUCCUGGGAAAAACUAAGGUUGCUGCUGGAA